rnacentral:lncRNA from 1 species
GAUCUAGUGUGGGUGGCUCUUCACCACCGGCUUUCACUGCACUCCGUGAGGAAGCCUGCAGCGGACGCAAGACGCCGAACAGGACCAUCUGUGUUUCUCUCUCUUCCUCUGUGCUACACGCCGAAGAACAGGAUCCUACACGGAGAUCUCAUCAGGUGUUUGUCCCACUGAGAGACUCUUCAGGGUCCUGAAACCUCCUCCUAGAUACGCCACCAAUCAUCGCUGGAGUACCACCAACUAGACAGGUACCAGCCAAUCCUUGCAGCACAUCUCUAGCAUGGAUGCACACAAAUAGAAUAU